rnacentral:misc_RNA from 1 species
CCGGGUACUAGGGGCUUCGGCCCCGCUCCCACACCCUCUGCAAAUCUGUCCACAACCUAAUGGCGUAAGGUUGUGAGGGGGGGACCUUCCUCUCCUCUGCCUGCCAGCCAACCCAAACUCUGUCUCUAACCUUGCAUUCUGAGAAAAACAAUAAAUUAGCGAA